UACGGAGGGUGCAAGCGUUGUCCGGAUUUAUUGGGUUUAAAGGGUGCGUAGGCGGCCCGUUAAGUCAGCGGUGAAAUCCCGGGGCUCAACCCCGGAACCGCCGUUGAUACUGGUGGGCUUGAGUAUGGACGAGGUUGGCGGAAUUGAGGGUGUAGCGGUGAAAUGCUUAGAUACCCUCAAGAACACCGAUUGCGUAGGCAGCUAACUAGGCCAUAACUGACGCUGAGGCACGAAAGCGUGGGGAGCGAACAGG
rnacentral:rRNA from 1 species